ACAAAGUCAUCCUGUCGGUUGAUUUCUUAUCAACCACUUCAGGGAACGCGCAACGAAUUGCGCCUGAAUCAAAUUGCACCACAGUAUUUUUUCACCGCUGCUGAGAAAUGGCUGUUGUGAAGUAGUGCGAAUUACAGAAGAUCAAAAUGGUGGAUCACAUCAUUAACAGUAUCAAUUUGCCACCGCUUGCCAAAACUCGGAGGGAAAAAAAAUAUGAAGAAACCUGGUUGAAUUAUACUGAGGUUGUUUUGAGCAUCACUUUGUCCCGAAAAAGAUACAAUUUACUACCAAAACGCUCACAGUGUUUUAAGAUCUGCCAAAACGGUGAGUCAAGAAAUUGACGAAAGCUGUUAUGAUUUCGUAGUUCUGACGGAGACGUGGCUGAAACAAGGAGUUUCAUUCGAUUGCCAGGAAUAUCAAGUAUUUCGACACGAUCGUGACACUCGCAGAGGAGGUGGAGUAUUGAUAGCCGUGCGAAAAUCGUUGAAGGCCUCCUUGCGUCCGGUGCAGUACCAACAUCUGGAGCAGGUCGUUGUGGAGGUGGCGCUUCCAGAAGAAACACUGUACAUUCUCGGGGUUUAUUUGGCUCCGUCAUCGGGUCUCAAAAUGUAUAAAUACCAUGUCAAAACAAUAGAACAACUAUUUGAAGUUGAAGGCCUAAAAACAGUCAUACUUUUGGGAGACUACAAUUGUCCAGACCUAAAGUGGACGCCUGAGCAACAUAUUCCGCACUAUAAAAUGUCGGGAGAGAAAAAAGAAAAAAGCAAUUCUGUUCGCAAACUUCUAGAGUAUGGGCUCUUUCAGAAAAAUGUUAUAAAGAAUAAAAACAUGAGAAUAUUA